GAAAGGAGGAUUAAUACACCGUAACAUAACGAAAUGGCAUCUAUUUUGUUAUUAUAGCAGCAAUGUCGGUUUGGAUAGGCGUGCGCCUGAUUAGGUAGUUGGCGGGUAACGGCCCACCAAGCCUACGAUCAGUAACUGGUGUGAGAGCACGACCAGUCACACGGGCACUGAGACACGGGCCCGACUCCUACGGGAGGCAGCAGUAAGGAAUAUUGGUCAAUGGACGAAAGUCUGAACCAGCCAUGCCGCGUGAAGGAUGAAGGUCCUCUGGAUUGUAAACUUCUUUUAUCUGGGACGAAAAAAGGGAAUUCUUUCUCACUUGACGGUACCAGAAGAAUAAGCACCGGCUAACUCCGUG
rnacentral:rRNA from 1 species